rnacentral:tRNA from 1 species
UGCCGUAACCCGGGAUCAAACCAGAGAUUUUAGAUCUUCAGUCUAACACUCUCCCAACUGAGCUAUUUUGGC